UACGAAGGGGGCUAGCGUUGCUCGGAAUCACUGGGCGUAAAGGGUGCGUAGGCGGUCUGUUACGUCGGCUGUGAAAACCUAGGGCUCAACCUGGGCCUGCAGCCGAUACGGGCAGACUAGAAUUCGGUAGGGGAGACUGGAAUCCUGGUGUAAGCGGUGAAAUGCGCAGAUAUCAGGAGGAACACCGGUGGCGAAGGCGGGUCUCUGGGCAACACUGACGCUGAGGAGCGAAAGCGUGGGGAGCGAACAGG
rnacentral:rRNA from 1 species